GUGAAGCUUCCCGUGAGCACCGCGCUUAACCUAGAUCGGAUAGGUAUGUCGGUAGGGGUGUGACGGCGGUGAAUCUCGUAGUUCGUGCCCCGGCACCCCACCGUCCUUUAUAUAGCGCGGGUCACAGGGGCCCACCAACCAUAAUGGGUUGGGCGCCCCCGAUCAGGGCGCAUAGAUCAAGGCCCGGUGGGCCGUUGGGCCCACGCGGUGAGAGAUCAAUCUAACAUUCUCCCCCUUGAUCUCGACUUUUACUUUUGACUUUAUACUUUUUAUUUUUUCCAUCACAUAUAAGCAUGUAGAGCAUGUCUCAUCGUCACAGCUUAAUUGCCGA
rnacentral:lncRNA from 1 species